AUGGGAAGACGAGACGAAGGAGGUUUUUCGUGGCCUUUACGUCAGUGUUCUGGACACACUCAUCUCGGAGUUAGAAGUGCGGUUCGAUUCCCUGGCAAAGACGACAUUUACCGAACUGCUCGACUUCUCCAAGUUUACGGCCUACGACAGAACAUUUCCUGAGGAAGCAUUCAGAUAUCUGAAGGAAACCUAUGGAAGAUUUUUUGACUUUGCUCUUUUGCGAAACGAACUCCAGGUGCUCUACGCGUCGUACCAGUUUGAGAAGAAAAACAUGUGCGAUUUAGUCGACUUCCUUCAAAACACUGGCCUGAACGGCAUCCUAACACAAGUGUCCAAACUCUGUGAACUGAGUCUGGCCAUGCAACUGGGCACUCCGAAGCAGAAGAAAUCCUCUUCCGUUUUAGGAAGAAUCGAAGCGUGCAACGACUACGCCUCUGGACAGGGGAAUUCGCUGUUCCUGACUAUUGAGAGGACGAUGCUGGACAAGAUGCAGGACUCCGACGGCUUCCAUGACCGUGUCAGCCGCCGGUUUGCCGAAAGAGGGGAUGGAGAUGACCUUGCUUUCGUAUGACGCAGCCCAAAGUAACGGUAAAGGGGGAUCCAGAGGGCAAACAGUCCUCUCUCUCUCUCUCUCUCUCUCUCUCUCUCUCUCUCUACCGUACAGACUACCAGCCAUAACACAACAGAUACUGACUGGUGGCGGAUCUUGUGUCAGAGUCUUUUCAUCUGAUCAGUCUGUUAUCUGUUCCACAUUCAUUACUGAUCAGUCUCUUCACUGUUCCACAUUUAUAUCUGAUCAGUCUCUUAACUGUUCCACAUUUAUAUCUGAUCAGUCUCUUAACUGUUCCACACUGUCACUGUCACUGAAAAUACUGGAGUAGGUUUAGAGGUUUUUGUUAUUAUUUGUUUGUUGUGAAUUUCAUUUCUGGUUUGACAGUUUGUCUGCUUUGACUAAAUUCAGUCUGAAGCUUGUGCAUAUAUGUGUGCAUGUGUGUUUGUGUGUGCGUGCAUGCGUGUGUUUGCACGUGUGUCUCUAUGUGUGUGUGUGUGUGUGUGUGUGUGUGGGCGGGGGUAUUAUGGUGCAUAGUUCAUCUUCAAGUGGCUCUCUGAAUCCAACUGGUUUCCAUGACACUCUACACACUUUCUAAGGAGUGGCUAGUUAGCUGACUGUUCAGUUUUAACAUUGCUCAAUACGCCUUAUUUGUGUAGAUUGUGACACUUUACUUAACAUUCUUUUCUUUUCUAAGCUAGGUCACAUAUAUUAAAUGAGUCAGCAAUCAUAUGCAAUUUCAAGCCCAUAACAUUUUCUGUUUUCAAAGUUUUAAAAGUGUGCGAUACUCUGCACACUAAAAAAAGUAACUAGUUAGCUGACUGUUAAAUGUUAACAUUGUUCAAAACACCUUGUUUGUGUACAUUUUGGCACUGUUAUUAUAUUUGUAAUAAACCAGUGUUAAAGUUUG